GGGGGACCUUCGGGCCUCUUGCCAUCGGAUGUGCCCAGAUGGGAUUAGCUAGUAGGUGGGGUAACGGCUCACCUAGGCGACGAUCCCUAGCUGGUCUGAGAGGAUGACCAGCCACACUGGAACUGAGACACGGUCCAGACUCCUACGGGAGGCAGCAGUGGGGAAUAUUGCACAAUGGGCGCAAGCCUGAUGCAGCCAUGCCGCGUGUAUGAAGAAGGCCUUCGGGUUGUAAAGUACUUUCAGCGGGGAGGAAGGGAGUAAAGUUAAUACCUUUGCUCAUUGACGUUACCCGCAGAAGAAGCUCCGGCUAACUCCGCCCAGCAGCCGCGGUAAUCCGGAGUGUCAAGC
rnacentral:rRNA from 1 species